AAAAAUAUUUUAAAAGUUACUUACAGUUUGUAAACCAAAGGCUUAUGCAGAAUCAGCUAGAGCUGAACUUCACCAGCUGAUCAAAAAACACACUCUACUUUAUAAUAUACAAUCAAAACACAUUCUAAACAACGAGUUUACUACAGUCAUACGUGUUACGUGCGCACAAAGAUGACCUUAACGUAUGUAUGCACUGUGUGUAGCUUGCCUUUGAAUUGUUUUCGAUAGAAACGUAUUGUCUUUGUCGACCAGCUGGAGAUGUUCAGCUGUUGCUGAUUCUGCAUAAGCCUUUCAUUUACUGACUGUAGGGUAAAAGCAAAAUAAAAUGAUCGAGUCU